GCAGAUUUUGGAGUCAGAAACUAAAACAAUGCAUCAAAGAUCAUCACUUUCACUCUUAUCCUUACUUCGCAGAUACCCUUUUCUAUACUCUACAAAACCCACAUCUUCCUUUCUCUUCAAAUCACUCGCACCAAUUUCCACCCACACUUUCCCUCACAAAUGGCAACUCUCAAACCUACCAAUUUCUUCCAAACCCACUUCAAAUUUAUCCAUUUCAACGACCCAGCAAGCUCAAUCUCGCAUCCGAAAUAUGUGGGAUUCAAUUGAAGAACUUGACAAGAACAAGAUAGUUGAUGAGAUUAAUCUCAAGUUUGCUGAAGCAAGGAGGAGAUUGAGACAGCUAUGGAGUCAAAAGAGACUGUUUACUUCAAUGAGAAGCUGAGUGUGCUAGAGUUGCUGUUAAGGAAGUGUUGGACAUGUGUUGUUGGAGAAGUUGAAGGUUGAGGACAGAGAUGCUUUGCAGAGGUCUAUGGGACUCAAGAUUGAGCAACUUAAAGCUGAGCUUCAACAAUUGGAAGAUUAA